GGAGACCACCGUGGACCUCCGGAGGCGGGAGGCCUCUCUGGCCCCAAGCGGAGCCUCUCGAUGGUAGACGGGCCCGAGGGAGCCCCUCUGGGCGCAACGCCGCCGAGCGGCUCGAUGCUCCAGCCGGAAGUGCUCUUCACCGCCUGCCUCCCACCCGCCUCUUUGGUCCCGGCGGUAAGAUGGCGGCUGCCGCGGAGUGCGAUGUGGUAAUGGCGGCGACCGAGCCAGAGCUGCUCGACGACGAGGAAGCAAAGAGGGAAGCAGAGUCUUUCAAGGAACAAGGAAAUGCAUACUAUGCCAAGAAAGAUUACAAUGAAGCUUAUAACUAUUAUACAAAAGCCAUAGAUAUGUGUCCUAAAAAUGCUAGCUAUUAUGGGAAUCGAGCAGCCACCUUGAUGAUGCUUGGAAAGUUCCGGGAAGCUCUUGGAGAUGCACAGCAGUCCGUGAGGUUGGAUGACAGUUUCGUCCGGGGACAUCUACGAGAGGGUAAAUGCCACCUAUCUCUAGGGAAUGCUAUGGCGGCAUGUCGUAGUUUCCAGAGAGCCCUAGAACUGGAUCACAAAAAUGCUCAGGCACAACAGGAGUUCAAGAAUGCUAAUGCAGUCAUAGAAUAUGAGAAAAUAGCAGAAACGGAUUUUGAGAAGCGGGAUUUUCGGAAGGUUGUUUUCUGCAUGGACCGUGCCCUAGAAUUUGCCCCUGCCUGCCAUCGCUUCAAAAUCCUCAAAGCAGAAUGUUUAGCAAUGCUAGGUCGUUAUCCGGAAGCACAGUCUGUGGCCAGUGACAUUCUACGAAUGGAUUCUACCAACGCAGAUGCUCUGUACGUACGAGGUCUUUGCCUUUAUUAUGAAGAUUGUAUUGAGAAGGCGGUUCAGUUUUUUGUACAGGCUCUCAGGAUGGCUCCUGACCAUGAGAAGGCCUGCGUGGCUUGCAGAAAUGCCAAAGCACUUAAAGCAAAGAAAGAAGAUGGGAAUAAAGCAUUUAAAGAAGGAAAUUACAAGCUAGCCUAUGAACUGUACACAGAAGCCCUGGGGAUAGACCCUAACAAUAUAAAAACAAAUGCUAAACUCUACUGUAAUCGGGGUACGGUUAAUUCCAAGCUUAGGAAACUAGAUGGUGCAAUAGAAGACUGCACAAAUGCAGUGAAGCUCGAUGACACUUAUAUAAAAGCCUACUUGAGAAGAGCUCAGUGUUACAUGGACACAGAACAGUAUGAGGAAGCAGUGCGGGACUAUGAAAAAGUGUAUCAGACGGAGAAAACAAAAGAACACAAACAGCUCCUAAAAAAUGCACAGCUGGAACUGAAGAAGAGUAAGAGGAAAGAUUACUACAAAAUUCUGGGCGUGGACAAGAAUGCCUCUGAGGAUGAGAUCAAAAAAGCUUACCGGAAACGGGCCUUGAUGCACCAUCCAGAUCGUCACAGUGGAGCCAGUGCCGAAGUUCAGAAGGAGGAGGAGAAAAAGUUCAAGGAAGUUGGAGAAGCUUUUACCAUCCUCUCUGAUCCCAAAAAAAAGACUCGCUAUGACAGUGGACAGGACCUGGAUGAGGAGGGCAUGAAUAUGGGUGAUUUUGACGCAAACAAUAUCUUCAAGGCAUUCUUUGGCGGUCCUGGGGGCUUCAGCUUUGAAGCAUCUGGUCCAGGGAAUUUCUUUUUUCAAUUUGGCUAAGGAGAGGAAACCAUCCAGAACCCAGAAAGUGGAGACUUGCUCAAUGUAACCUUGAACGUGGGCACAGUUCACCUCCUCCCUUCAUCUCAUCUCCCCAUCCUUAGAGCAGUUUCGUUUUCUUAGUUGGAUGCCCUGUGUCUGUCUGCUUUGUGUCACUUCAGACUCGGUGGGCCAGAAGCUGAGCCCCCAGCACGGAGCUGGUGCUGGCAUGGAUUUUAGGCUCAGCAAGCUGCCCCACAGGGCAUGUGGGCACCUAGGGCCUGAUGGCAAUGGGAUGCUGGCCGCCUCUCCCAAACCUGUUGAGCAUGCAGAGACACUUGAGACUUUGGCUGAAGCUUAGACUUUUGGCGCUUCGAUAGUAGCGAUGGCUGGGGAAAGACUGUGGACCAAACAGGUAACUUACGUUUCUCUUCCUUCUGAGCCCCUGCCCCUCUCUUUCCAGUCUUCCCCCUUUGUCGCCGAAGCCAUGGUGACAGGAUGCCCGAGGUAGGCCUGAUAAGCUCCUACUGGCCUGUACAGAACUCCUCAGUGUCAGGUGUUGCCUUGUGUUUAAGGGUGGCCCGUCCCUAGAGGACUGAGGGACCCAGGCUAGGGACUGUGGGUCUUGCUGGGAAGGCCCUCUCCUUGCUUUGGGCUGGCACACCUGUGGGCCCACUGCUGCAGUCAGUGGGGGAGACAGGCUCCACUCCACGUCCCUCAGACCCAGGCAGCCCCCACUUUCUGUGCCCGUCUAAGAUCAGCCUCUCUCCGUUCUGCCUCCUCAUGAAAGCCAACACUGUUCAGCUGCCCAGCCUCACCACAGCUGUGCCCGGCCAGCAGAGGGGAGACAGGACCGAUGGCCCCACGCUGCGGGACAAAGCCAGUCCUGAUACGCCAACCCCGGCCCCAGGGAGGCCUGAGCUGGGCACAGAAGGGGUGAGAGAGACUGCACGCGGCCAGGAUUAACACGGUUUAUUUCACUGUCAGUCUUACAAGUCACUGAGGUUGGGCAAAGCCAGGAUAGUAACUCGAGCACUUUCGUCCAGUAACAACUCAAUGAGCAAGGCCCUAUUACUGAGCAAGGGGCAGCAGAGGGCACCCCAGGAACCGCAGCACAGGCACCGAUGUUCCAAACCCCUUCCCGGAGGCACCAGGCAGGGCUUGGCCCUUAACAGCCAGGCGUCCACCCCACUGGCUCAUGGUCCCCACCAACUGACGCCCUUUGGAGGAGGCACACGGGCCUGCAGAGGCAUUAAGGAGGCAAGUUGGGCUGGGCAGACGGCAAGAUUGGAGCUUCCCCACCGAGGUACUUUCUCUGGCUUUGAUCUCCCCAUCCCCACAGCAGAGCCACACGGCUGGAAAGGAUGGCCAGCCCGUCCCCAUCCCAGGAAGGGGGAAGCCCUGUGGCCAUCCGGGAGUGGCUGUUGCUGACUGUUCUCUUUUCUCCCCUACUUAUCCAACUGUUCCCUAGUUACAGUGUGGAGGAGGAGAGGACAGGCACUUAGAGCCAAAGGUGGGACGUACACCCCUUUUUCUAUUCUGGUAAAAAGCCCCAGACUUCCUGGGGCUGCAAUGAUUAAGAUCCAGGGUCUAAGCCCAGGGAUUCCCCCCCACCCUGAAUCCAUCGCCGGUUUCCCACAGCUGCAGUGACCGCCCUCUGGGUACCUGCAGCUCUGAGGUGACCCCCUCCACCCCACUGGCCAGCUCUGGGCAGGGGCAGGGGAACCAGUAACAGGCAGCUGGGCUCGGGGUUGUGGCUGCAGUUCCAGGCCCAGCUUGGCUCAGCCUGGGCAGCUUUGCUCUGGGUUCCUGAAUGGUGCCUCCUACCCCACCUUGUGUUGAAAGCUUGGGCAUUAGC